rnacentral:misc_RNA from 1 species
CUCAUUAGUUAUAUGUGAUUUCUGGGCAGGGCUCAAGCUUAACAGCUAAAUCGUAUAGAGGAAUUUGUAAUGAACAAACUCCAGUUGUAGUCACACUGAAGACAAGGAUGAAUUCGCAGCUCGAAGAGAACACAUCGCGAUUAAGUUUUUGAAUUGGGAGCCUUUUUUUUACUUUAAGCUAAAAUAAUAGUUUGUUUGACUAUGUUGGACACCAUGUUGUUGCUGUAUUGCAAGUCGAAAUUGUAGGCGAGAUAUUUUACCUCAUGCUUUGAAAACGAAAGCAAGAUGAGUUUGCCAUACAAUGAACUAUAUUAGGAAAGCGAAGAGAGCACAGCGGCAGGACCCGAAUAUUCUAACAACAAUACUUAAUCUAAGGCUUAAAGUUUUGUGACAAAAACAUUUACCCCAAGACCACGGCUACGCCCACAAAAUAACACAUAGCAAAAAUGUUUUUAACGCCC